rnacentral:rRNA from 1 species
UACGAAGGGGGGCUAGCGUUGUUCGGAAUUACUGGGCGUAAAGGGCGCGUAGGCGGUACUUCAAGUCAGGCGUGAAAGCCCCGGGCUCAACCUGGGAACCGCGCUUGAGACUGGAGAACUAGAGUUCGGGAGAGGAUGGUGGAAUUCCCAGUGUAGAGGUGAAAUUCGUAGAUAUUGGGAAGAACACCGAUGGGCGAAGGCAGCCAUCUGGGACCGACACUGACGCUGGAGGCGCGAAAGCGUGGGGAGCAAACAGG